UACGUAGGGCGCAAGCGUUGUCCGGAAUCAUUGGGCGUAAAGAGCUCGUAGGCGGCUUGUCACGUCGGGUGUGAAAGCCCGGGGCUUAACCCCGGGUCUGCAGUCGAUACUGGCAGGCUAGAGUGUGGUAGGGGAGAGCGGAAUUCCUGGUGUAGCGGUGAAAUGCGCAGAUAUCAGGAGGAACACCGGUGGCGAAGGCGGAUCUCUGGGCCAUUACUGACGCUGAGGAGCGAAAGCGUGGGGAGCGAACAGG
rnacentral:rRNA from 1 species